CCUAACUCAUUCACCUCUACUUGCUUCUACAGUCUACUAUAAUUUCUUUCUCUCGGGAAAAAAGAACUCCUUUCUUUUGCUUUCUCUCACCAGCCUUUCUAAGAAGACCAAAUGAUGGUAACCUUUUUCUUAGCUUUGCUAGCAUCUUCAGCAAUGUUGACAGCUAUUAUGGCUCAACAACCACAAGAACUGAAAGUGAACAUCACCAUACUUCACAGCGCCACUGCUGAAGGCGCAGGUAAAAUACUUGACUGCACAAUACAUUAAGCAACAGAAUCACAUGUAUACUAACUAGUAAUUUAUUUGUUUUCGAGUCACCAACACUGUGCCUAGAUGGGAGCCCCCCGGCAUAUCAUCUUGAUCAGGGAUAUGGUAGUGGACUUCGCAGCUGGAUCAUCGUCGUUGAUGGCGGUGUUGGUGCUAUAGUAUCUCUGAUUGCUAAUAUCGUUCAAAUACCAGCUUAGGUUCUUCCACAAAGAUGCUUCCACCACAAGUCACAUUUUCGGGAAUUCUUCAUGACGAUCCCAGAAGUAAUCCAGACUUUUACAAUUGGAAUAGAGUUAGAGUCAGAUGUUGCUUUAAUAUUUCUGUUUCUUAUUGUUUGAGGGAUCGGCUAAGAAUUUGCCUCCAUCUUGCACCUCUAUAAUGGAACCAAGUCUGUGCUUUUUCCCUUGAAACGUUGUUCCAUUCGUUCAGACUCCACUUUUCAUAAUCAAUUCACACUGACUCUUGGCAGGUUAGUAACAUUUUGGUUCCUAAAUACCUCGAUCCUCAGCAUGUCUGGAAGAAUUGCAAGAGACAUUAUAAGUAACUGCACAUUUAGCCAGCGUAUGAUCAUUCAAGGUUACGAGGGGUUAUUUCAUAACCUCUUGUUAUUACCACGGCGAAAUUGUAUGGACGAAUUACUGGUUCAGUCCUACCUCUCCAAGAGUACUUAUAAAUAAAACAAUUGCGGAAGCUGUUGCAGAUUGGUACUUUGAUAGAGCAGGGUUCCAUCAAAACAUCGACCCAUACCCAUGUGCUAGAGAUUGCGCCUUGUCCCCUUCAUGAAACUUUUUUAAGUAGUCUUUUGCUAAAUGCUCUGCUGAGCUGAGUCGAAGUACUGUUCCUGUAUUCAGUGAAUGAAAAUUAACUUUUGUUUCUUUCGCUGAGUAUGAAGUUCUUGCCACUGCUGAGUAUAUAUAUCAAACCAUAUUGGCAAAGUUGGCUUUGUUAUUUCACAGCUUUCUUUAAAAUCUAUGAAAGGAUUGAAUGGUUGGUUAUUUUUUUAAAA